CAGGAAUAAACCCGUUUUCUGUCCCUUGUGGUAGAUGAACUUUUUGAGCGGAGUUGAGCCGUUCCCGCAAAGAAGCUGAAGUGUUUCUGAAGAGAGCCGUUAGGCUACCCCAGCCAGCACAGCCCCCGCCUGCUCAGGGGGAACUGGAUUCUGCUAAUAGCUUUGUAGCGACCUCAGCAGCAGUAUUUUGUUGACUUGGGGGCUAGGACAAGGUUACCACAGCAUUCUGAGAUGACGAGACAGGUCAGGUGUCCUGCAGGCAAGGGCCAAGAGAGCCUAAUGGUUCCCCCCAUGACAAACCCCUGGGUCUAAGGUAUUCCUUCCCCACCAGCCCAGGUUGUCACCCUCCUUUCUCAGCCACGUGAUGGGUAUGCCCGGUCUCUGAAGCAUCCACAUCUCCUAAUCUCCCUCAUAUCUGUCCCACACCAUGUGUCUAGUUUCAUGCUGAGGUGGCCCAGUGGUUUCUUCUUUGCAUACCUUGUGCCCUCCUAGACCAUCUCCCACCCCCAGACAGGUGCACCACUCCGGGAACAACUUAGAAGUCAUCACCUCAUACCUAUGAUCAUUGUCAUCUGUCUCCACAAUCCUCCAGACCAGCCGCCUAACUGGGUGGGAAGAGAAACUCCAGGUUAGUGUCUCCUGCCUCCCAUCUCUUGGCCAGUCACCAAGUCCAGUCCCUGGCUUCCUGCAGGUCGGCAUGGAAGGGGAAAAGGAAGAUUGGCCCUGAGCUAACAUCCGUGCCCAUCUUCCUCUACUUUAUAUGUGGGAUGCCUGCCACAGCAUGGCUUGCCAAGCGGUGCAUAGGUCUGUGCCUGGGAUCCAAACUGGUGAACCCCAGGCCUCCGAAGCAGAACGCAAAAACUUAGCUGCGCCACAGGGCUGACCCCAGUGGUCCUCUACUUUGUAUGUGGGAUGCUUCCAUGGCAUGGCUGAUGAGUGGAGUAGGUCUGCACCCGGGAUCCGAAUCCGUGAACCCAGACCGCUGAAGCAGAGCAUGGGGAACCGUAACCACUUGGCCAUGGGGCUGGUCCCCCAUUUUUGUUUUUAGUGGCAUUCACACUUGGAGGUGAUACAGGACAUGAAAUGUUUAGUUCCCUGCCCGGGACUUUUUGCUAAAAGACAGCACCAUUUGGUGGUGAUGGGAUGUGUAUAAGAAAUCCAAAACGUAGCACAAUCCAUCUAGAAAUCCUUGGAUAGUAUGUUUCUACCUGCUGUGCAGACAGGUGUCAGUGCCAUGCCCUGAAAAGGUGCCUACUGUAGUCAGUGCCCGCCAACCUCAAGAGGCAGAGAGGGAAGGGGCCUACAGGGUCUAUUGUCAGGACUGGCCAGGUCCAGGCUCCUGAAGUAUGUACCCUGAAGCUUUCUUUGUCACCCAACCGUGUAACUGGCAGUCUCAGCACAUUUGCCAGGUUUCCCUGGCUUCGUCUGCUGGACUCACUAGGCCUUGUUCUGGGGCCCAGUCCUGAAUUGUAGCCAGGUUACCAUACCCUGUGUGGCACUGUGUCCAGGUGCCAGAUCCUUACCCGGGUAGCGCAAGGCUAACUAGCUGGUUGAUCCGUUGAUGUGCAUCCUGAAAAGGUCCUGUUCCAAGGGCGUUGGUCCACAUGGACCACAAACAGGGGUGUGGGUCUUGUGCAAUCUGCUCCAUGAUGUUUGUCCCCAUGGAGGCUGACACUCCAUCAUCCAG
rnacentral:lncRNA from 1 species